AUUGAACGCUGGCGGCAGGCCUAACACAUGCAAGUCGAACGGAGCGGCGGACGGGUGAGUAAUGCCUAGGAAUCUGCCUGGUAGUGGGGGAUAACGUCCGGAAACGGGCGCUAAUAACGCCUACUAUCAGAUGAGCCUAGGUCGGAUUAGCUAGUUGGUGGGGUAAAGGACUACCAAGGCGACGAUCCGUCACUGGUCUGAGAGGAUGAUCAGUAACACGGGAACGGGGAUGCGGUGCAAAAUCGUACGUGAGGCAGCAGUGGGGAAUAUUGGACAAUGGGCGAAAACCGAAUACAGGCAUGCGGGGUGUGUGAAGAAGGUCUGCGGAUUGUAAAGGAUGUUAAGUUGGGAGGCGUUACCAACAGAAUAAGCACCGGCUAACUCCGUGCCAGCAGCCGCGGUAAUUC
rnacentral:rRNA from 1 species